AGUGAACGCUGGCGGUAGGCCUAACACAUGCAAGUCGAACGGCAGCACAGUAAGAGCUUGCUCUUACGGGUGGCGAGUGGCGGACGGGUGAGGAAUACAUCGGAAUCUACUUUCUCGAGGGGGAUAAUGUAGGGAAACUUACGCUAAUACAUCAUACGACCUACGGGUGAAAGCAGGGGAUCUUCGGACCUUGCGCGAAUGCAUGAGCCGAUGUCGGAUUCCCUAGUUGGCGGGGUAAAGGCCCACCAAGGCGACGAUCCGUAGCUGGUCUGAGAGGAUGAUCAGCCACACUGGAACUGAGACACGGUCCAGACUCCUACGGGAGGCGGCAGUGGGGAAUAUUGGACAAUGGGCGCAAGCCUGAUCCAGCCAUACCGCGUGGGUGAAGAAGGCCUUCGGGUUGUAAAGCCCUUUUGUUGGGAAAGAAAAGCAGCAGGUUAAUACCCCGCUGUUCUGACGGUACCCAAAGAAUAAGCACCGGCUAACUUCGUG
rnacentral:rRNA from 1 species